rnacentral:sRNA from 1 species
AGUGAGGCCAGCUGCGGUGAAGAGGGUGCUCUCUUGCCUGGAGUUCCCUCUGCUACGGCUGCCCCUUCCCAGCCCUGGCCCACUAAGCCAGACCCAGCUGUCCCCAUUCCCACUUCUGGUCCUGCCACCUCCUGAGCUGCCUUCCUGCCUGGUCUGGGUAGAGUCAUGGCCUCGAGCACAGGUGACCGGAGCCAGGCGGUGAGGAAUGGACUGAGGGCGAAGGUGCUGACGCUGGACGGCAUGAACCCGCGUGUGCGGAGAGUGGAGUACGCAGUGCGUGGCCCCAUAGUGCAGCGAGCCUUGGAGCUGGAGCAGGAGCUGCGCCAGGGUGUGAAGAAGCCUUUCACCGAGGUCAUCCGUGCCAACAUCGGGGACGCACAGGCUAUGGGGCAGAGGCCCAUCACCUUCCUGCGCCAGGUGAGGCUCCUGCACUGCCUGGCGCACCCCCCACCCCCAGCCCAUGUGCCCUGGCCUCAGCACUCCGUCUUCCCAGGUCUUGGCCCUCUGUGUUAACCCUGAUCUUCUGAGCAGCCCCAACUUCCCUGACGAUGCCAAGAAA